rnacentral:lncRNA from 1 species
AUUUUUUUGGCUUCCCCCACUAAUCACACUCACAAAAUCAUAACUGUUGCCUUUCUCUUUCUCAAAAUUGCAGAAACAAUUAUAAGAAAACAAUUGCUUCCAUUCUAUUUCUCACAAUUGCAUGGUUUACUUCUACACAAUUUAUUAAACAAUUGAAUAGGAUAAGAAGAAUGUGGAAUCUCUGUGAUCAUUGCAGCCAAGUUUCUGGUGAAGUGGAAACUCUAUUCCUAUUGCUUUUGUUUUCUUUUUUAGUUACAGGAGAGAAAGCGAAACAUGAUAGAGAGUAGAGAGUAUGCUUUGAAUGGUGGCGCCUCUAAAAGGUCUGAUGUCGUUUUCAACUGUCCGUUUAAUUACUAUUUGAUGAAUGUUUCUUUCUACCCUUUCUUCAACUAAUUGUUUUCUCACUUGUUACUUCUAUCAUUGUUCAUCAUCUUUUUAUAUACAGCAGCAUCCAUGGAAAGGAAGUUUGAUCCCCUUUGAAUUUUUCUUAUUUGUAAUCAUGCAUUCUUUUUAAUUCUCAUACUUUCGAUUGGGAAUAAUACUACUUAUACCAAUCUAUAUUUGUGACAACCUACCUUAGUCUUCACAUGCCAAAGCCAAUGAAUCAAACAUUUAUUGAAAAUUACAAUCCUGGAUGAAAAAGUGGUUAUAAUAUUCGUG